AUUGCACGCUGGCGGCAGGCCUAACACAUGCAAGUCGAGCGAGCGGCGGACGGGUGAGUAAUGUCUGGGAAACUGCCUGCUGGAGGGGGGUAACUACUGGAAACGGUAGCUACUACCGCAUACCCUCAGAUGUGCCCAGAUGGGAUUAGCUAGUAGGUGUGGUAACGGCUCACCUAGGCGACGAUCCCCAGCUGUUCUGAGAGGAGGACCAGCCACACUGGAACUGAGACACGGUCCAGACUCCGACGGGAGGCAGCAGUGGGGAAUAUUGCACAAUGGGCGCAAGCCUGAUGCAGCCAUGCCGCGUGUGUGAAGAAGGCCUUCGGGUUGUAAAGCACUUUCAGCGGGGAGGCGUUACCCGCAGAAGAAGCACCGGCUAACUCCGUGCCAGCCGCCGCGGUAAUAC
rnacentral:rRNA from 1 species